UCCUGGGUUCAUGCCCCAGUGGAGCCACAGUCCGAUGUUUGAUCUCGGAAGCUAAACAGGGUCGGUCCUGGUUAAUACUUGGAUGGGAGACCACCUAGGAAGACCAGGUUCUAUAGGCA
rnacentral:rRNA from 1 species